UACAGAGGGUGCGAGCGUUGUCCGGAAUCACUGGGCGUAAAGGGCGCGUAGGUGGCGGCCCAAGUCCAUGGUGAAAGCUCGAUGCUCAACAUCGAGUCGGCCACGGAUACUGGGGUUGCUCGAGCACUGUAGGGGCAGAUGGAAUUCCGGGUGUAGCGGUGGAAUGCGUUAGAGAUCCGGAAGAACACCGGUGCGAAGGCGG
rnacentral:rRNA from 1 species